rnacentral:rRNA from 1 species
AGAGUUUGAUCCUGGCUCAGGACGAACGCUGGCGGCGUGCCUAACACAUGCAAGUCGAACGGAAGUUAGAGCUUCGGUUUUAACUUUAGUGGCGAACGGGUGAGUAACGCGUGAGGAACCUGCCUUUCAGUGGGGGACAACAGUUGGAAACGACUGCUAAUACCGCAUGAUGCUUUUGGGAGACAUCUCCUGGAAGCCAAAGCUUUAUGUGCUGAAAGAUGGCCUCGCGUCUGAUUAGCUAGUUGGUGAGGUAACGGCUCACCAAGGCGACGAUCAGUAGCCGGUCUGAGAGGAUGAACGGCCACAUUGGGACUGAGAUACGGCCCAGACUCCUACGGGAGGCAGCAGUGGGGAAUAUUGGGCAAUGGGCGCAAGCCUGACCCAGCAACGCCGCGUGAAGGAAGAAGGCUUUCGGGUUGUAAACUUCUUUUACCAGGGACGAAGGACGUGACGGUACCUGGAGAAAAAGCCACGGCUAACUACGUGCCAGCAGCCGCGGUAAUACGUAGGUGGCAAGCGUUGUCCGGAUUUACUGGGUGUAAAGGGCGUGUAGGCGGAGAUGCAAGUUGGGAGUGAAAUCCAUGGGCUCAACCCAUGAACUGCUCUCAAAACUGUAUCCCUUGAGUAUCGGAGAGGCAAGCGGAAUUCCUAGUGUAGCGGUGAAAUGCGUAGAUAUUAGGAGGAACACCAGUGGCGAAGGCGGCCUGCUGGACGACAACUGACGCUGAGGCGCGAAAGCGUGGGGAGCAAACAGGAUUAGAUACCCUGGUAGUCCACGCUGUAAACGAUGAAUACUAGGUGUGGGAGGACUGACCCCUUCCGUGCCGCAGUUAACACAAUAAGUAUUCCACCUGGGGAGUACGACCGCAAGGUUGAAACUCAAAGGAAUUGACGGGGGCCCGCACAAGCAGUGGAUUAUGUGGUUUAAUUCGACGCAACGCGAAGAACCUUACCGGGAUUUGACAUCCUACUAACGAAGUAGAGAUACAUUAGGUGCCCUUCGGGGAAAGUAGAGACAGGUGGUGCAUGGUUGUCGUCAGCUCGU